rnacentral:rRNA from 1 species
GGCUCGAGUGGCGAACGGGUGAGUAACACGUGAGUAACCUGCCCUUGACUUUGGGAUAACUUCAGGAAACUGGGCUAAUACCGGAUAGGAGCUCCUGCUGCAUGGUGGGGGUUGGAAAGUUUCGGCGGUUGGGGAUGGACUCGCGGCUUAUCAGCUUGUUGGUGGGGUAGUGGCUUACCAAGGCUUUGACGGGUAGCCGGCCUGAGAGGGUGACCGGCCACAUUGGGACUGAGAUACGGCCCAG